GUGAAUCAUCGAAUUUUUGAACGCAAAUUGCACUCUCUGGUAUUCCGGAGAGUAUGCCUGUUUGAGGGUCAGUUUAAAUAAAAAUCGGUGUGGUUGCUGCCUUUCGUGGUGACGCACCGGAUUUGGGUCGUCUUGCCUUGGGUUAGGUAACUUAAAAUUUGGCUUGUUUUUUUUCGAUGGAAUUAAAAUAUUUUUCGGUACUUUUCCGUUAUCGAAUC
rnacentral:misc_RNA from 1 species